GAUGAACGCUGGCGGCGUGCUUAACACAUGCAAGUCGAACGAGAAGUGGAGACGGACACCUUCGGGCGGAAGACUUUACUUCGAGUGGCGGACGGGUGAGUAACGCGUGGGUAACCUGCCUCAUACAGGGGGAUAACAGUUGGAAACGACUGUUAAUACCGCAUAAGACCACAGCACCGCAUGGUGCGGGGGUAAAAACUCCGGUGGUAUGAGAUGGACCCGCGUUCGAUUAGCCAGUUGGCGGGGUAACGGCCCACCAAAGCGACGAUCGAUAGCCGAUCUGAGAGGAUGACCGGCCACAUUGGGACUGAGACACGGCCCAAACUCCUACGGGAGGCAGCAGUGGGGAAUAUUGCACAAUGGGGGAAACCCUGAUGCAGCGACGCCGCGUGAGUGAAGAAGUAUUUCGGUAUGUAAAGCUCUAUCAGCAGGGAAGAAAAUGACAGUACCUGAGUAAGAAGCCCCGGCUAACUACGUG
rnacentral:rRNA from 1 species